rnacentral:rRNA from 1 species
UACGGGGGGGGCAAGCGUUGUUCGGAAUUACUGGGCGUAAAGGGCUCGUAGGUGGCCAAUUAAGUCAGACGUGAAAUCCCCAGGCUCAACCUGGGAACUGCGUCUGAUACUGGCAGGCUCGAAUCCGGGAGAGGGAUGCGGAAUUCCAGGUGUAGCGGUGAAAUGCGCAGAUAUCAGGAGGAACACCGGUGGCGAAAGGCGGGUCUCUGGGCCGAUACUGACGCUGAGGAGCGAAAGCGUGGGGAGCGAACAGG